CCGCGCAGGUGACUGCGCGUGACCCCGGUCACAGCUACGUCACGCGACAGCCUUCAAUCCCUUUUAUUUUCCUCGUUGGCGGCACACGCAAACUACAGAUGAGUUUUGUUCAUCUUACGAGUCCGUGCAUUCGUAUUUAUAUGCUAACAACUUUGGGCAAGCCGAAACAAGUAAGAGAAGAAGAAGUUAGCUGUCGCUGUUUUCAAGUCUUUCUUCCCGGAGCGGUGAAGUUCCCCUUAUCGGCGAUGACUACGAGGCUGCUGUGCUUGGCAACCGUCUUCCUUACCAUCGUAUUCGGGAGAAGUGAAAGCCGCUUACUGCCAUUGCAGAACAACGGGGCCUUAACCCCAGGCGGAUGUGUGGACCCAACCGGUCAUCUCGUCAACGAAGGCUUCAGCAUCUCGAGAACACGUCCGUGCCAACUCGAGACUUGCCGCAAUGGCACGUGGGAUAUAGCCAGGUGCAUCGAGGACGUGGACCCGAAGUGCAAGGGGCAACUGGGAACCAGGGGACCGGGACCGUACCCGGAUUGCUGUGCGCUUGCUGUGUACUGCGCCGGACACUGAGGCUCGGCCAAGGACAGCGCCGCAGCUCUCGAGAAACCGUGCUGUAACUGCGUCACCUUUGUUAAAAUCUCGUUAGAGGACUCCAAGACGACAUGUAAACGAUUUUUUCCCA